UACGAAGGGGGCUAGCGUUGCUCGGAAUCACUGGGCGUAAAGGGUGCGUAGGCGGGUUUUUAAGUCAGAGGUGAAAUCCUGGAGCUCAACUCCAGAACUGCCUUUGAUACUGGGAAUCUUGAGUAUGGAAGAGGUGAGUGGAACUGCGAGUGUAGAGGUGAAAUUCGUAGAUAUUCGCAAGAACACCAGUGGCGAAGGCGGCUCACUGGUCCAUAACUGACGCUGAGGCACGAAAGCGUGGGGAGCGAACGAGG
rnacentral:rRNA from 1 species